rnacentral:misc_RNA from 1 species
AACGCACCUUGCGCUCCUUGGUAUUCCGAGGAGCAUGCCUGUUUGAGUGUCAUUUAAUUCUCAACCACACUUGGUUUGUGGCUUGGAUUGUGGGGGUACCUUUGCGGGCUUCUUUACUGAAGUCGGCUCCCCUAAAAUAUAUCAGCGGAACUGUUUGCGGUCAGUCACCGGUGUGAUAACUAUCUACACCCAUGAUGAAAACUGCUCUCCAUUUGUUCAGCUUAUAAUUGUCCGAAUGGACAACUCGAAAAUUCGACCUCAAAUCAGGUAGGACUACCCGCUGAACUUAA